CCUUAAAUCGCAAAGAGCUCACGAAUAUGCUUUCAGAAUAAUGAAGAAAAAGGGAGCUACAGACGCUGGAACUCUGCACUUUGCCAGGCUUGGGAAAGGAGGAUGAGAGAGCGGGAGGUUAUCAACUCCUGAAAGGAAGGAAAAUGAGUUGAGUUUACAGGUGCCGACUGGAGCCAAAAAGGGGAAAACGGCAGCACGGGGAGCUGGCCCCAGCCUGAGAAGCAGCAAUGGGCUACCACAGGCAGGACCCAUCACCAACUCCCGAGUUCUGCAACAAGACAUGCAGAGGCAGACACAGACGCCCACAAUAUGAGGCAGGAAAUGGGCCAGGUUAGGAUUCAAGCUACUCUGAAAGACCCGAGGAGGUGGAAGCCACAUGAAUUGGGAUGGGCCAGGAGAGGCACCAAGACAGGGUGGCAUAUGGGAGCCUGAGUGGAAUUCAAUCCACCUGGGGAAUGAAGGCCCUUCUAGGGAAGGAGAAGCAGCAUGAGCAAAGGUAAGGAGCCAGCCAGCAGGAAAGAACUCAGAUUCGGGUGAUUAUUAGCUGUGUGACCUGGGGUGAGAAAACUUACCCAACUUUCUGGGGCUUUGGUUUCCUCAUCUGGAAAAUGAAAUGACUAAUAACCACCUUCCAGGCUUGCUGUGAAGAUUCCUUUGGAUAGUCUGUAUGGAGUCUACCACAGUGCCUGGUAUGGUAUAGAUGCUGUAAAUGGCACACUAUCAGCCCCUUCCUUGACUAGGAAGACUUGGAGAGAAUCGUUGGCCUGCCUUCCUUUUGCCUUCCUGCUUUUUGGGUUUUCUGCCUAUCUGAACUCCGAGUACUUGAGCUCUCUCAAGGUAAGAUCUGUGUCUGUGCCCUUGUGACUGCCUUCCGAUUCCCUGAGGGCAGGCCCCACAGUAGGGGCACCUUUGUGGAAAGAAGAAGUAAAUGAACGUGUCCCGCCUAUUCGGUCUCCUACCGCUCUACCACCACUUAGGGGUUCAUGAAGUCACACGGGGUGGCGUGCCCUCCCCUUUCGUCUACCGGCAAAUUCUCUCCAUCCUUCAGAAUUCAGCUCAUGGUUUCGUGAGGUCCUUCAUUCAAGACAGAAUUGGAUAGGACCGACACUUUCUCCUAAGUGCCCCCAUGUAACUUUCCACAAAACUCUACCAUAACGAACACCCCACUCAACAGCUUAUGACUGCUUGCUUUUCCCUUUGCUCCCUCAGCCCUCCAAGCCAGGUCCUACAAGCCUUGUUGGCUACGUGGUGUCAACGAGACGUGUUCUUACGCGAGGACAGAACCUGAGGAGGUUGCAGAACAUCUCUCCAUGAGUUGGGACUCCUGUGCCCUCUUUCAUUUGUUUGCUUAUGGUUCUAUCCUAAGGAAAAAUGGCUAUGUUUACAUAGUUACAGAACAAUUGGAAGUCUGAUGUAUGGCUAAUUCCAUAUAGUAGGAAGUUUCUCAGAUAAUUUAAUUUCUUUCCUUCCCUGAGACAAGGACUUUAAAUUGUUGCAUGGGGUAAACAGCGCAUUAUAACCCAGGGGGAUGGUGUGAUGUGUCUCCCACAUGAGGUCUUACUCAUCUCUGUGCUUUUGGAACCUCGCACGGGGACUCACUCAGUGCUUUGCACAUGAGAUGUCAAUAAUUACACUGAAGGGAUGAAUGCCGUGUUCUGCUACUUCCCUUCCCAGGAGACCUCAAUGGCUGCCCUGUUCCCCCUAGCUCCAUCUAAUCUCCACAGCCUGGCAUUCAAGUUCAUGCCUGAGAUGAUUCCAAUCUCUAACCUCAGGUAAAGCCAUUUACCCUGGUACGCCAGGCAUCCCUCACCGCGGGCAAGCAGGACUACUGAGUGGAUGGCUCUUGGUUCUAUGGGCUGGAUGAAUUCGUUUGCUGGGGGAAUGCUAGUCUUAGCUUCAGGAGAGCUACAGGAUGAGACAGCCGAAGGACUGCACGGCCAGGAGGGGCCUUUGCAGACACUCUGAUCAGAGGUGGGAAACGAACACUGCAUUCUGGAGCGGACCUGAAGACCAGAGGUGGUAGUGGCUGGGGAGACAGCCCUUGGGGAUGCUACCCCAUUCAGCCAAAGGGCAUGGACUGACUGCGUUCCUAACACACUCUGUUCAUGAGUUCAUCCUCACCCAGAGAAGGCGACCACAAAAACUGUUAUCCUGAUGGUCCAGGACAAACAAGAUAAGAACUAAGCUAAUGUUUUUUUGAGCAUCAAACUAUUGAACUUAAGGCUGCUCCUGGCACCACCAUUACCUGAAGCAGGGAAGGUCCUACCCUGUGCUCCCAGUUUGCCCUCUAUUGACCUCUCCCGCCCAAGUCACGUUGUGUUGUCACUGAUUUCCAUGUCAGUCUUUCUCAAGAGACCACGAACCUCUUGAGGACAUGUGAUUUUGCAAAUAUGGUGCCUUGACACAUGAAUAAAUGGAUGAAUGAAUGAACGCAUGCAUGCAUGAAUGAAUGAAGUUUAUGCAAAGUGCAUACACCUUUUUUUUUUUUUUUUUUUUUUUUUACCACCAGAUGGCAAAUAUUCUUUGGAAAGUCUAGCUGUAAACUGUCUCAGAUAGAGUCUGGUGAAAACUAAGUUUUUCAGCAAACUGGAUGAGUACCUCCAACAGCGUGAGAUUUUUCAGGGAUGCCCAUGCUUCCCAUCUCUUAGCAGAGAGAGGAGAAAGCACCAGAAUGGAAGUCAGGAGUUCUGGCAUAUGGAUCUAUGCUGUCAUUAGCAUUUGGGUGAGUCACAUUAUUAUUGUAUAGGCCUCGAUUUUCUCAUUUCAAAAAAUCCUGUGGCCUGUGGUCAGUCAACAUGUGUAAGCAUCUACACUAUCCCAGACCCUGACUCAGGUGCUGGGGGUAAAGAAAUGGCUCAGGGAGAGCUUCUAGAACAAUGCUUCUCAACUCUGUAGUGAAAGACCAGCUUGUUGCUAUUGUUUUUAAACCAUGUCAUCUGUUGCAGACUGUAUUUUGGUAAAAUUAAAAUGUAAUAGUAAGAGAAGUAAAUAAAAGCAUAUCAAAUCCAA